GCUCAAGGGGGGCGGCCCCGUCAGGGCCCGCCAUCUUGGAAGGCCUUUUUUGCCGGUUCUUCCCGCUGAGGAAGUGUCGCUCAAGACGCUGGCCUAUGAGUUGUGAUUUCUGCCUUUUCCCCUUCCUCCUUGGGCUAAGCCAGACCAGAAAGGGCCCCGUGCGCAACGUGCUUCACAAUCUCUCAGGGAAAGCGGCUAACGUGGCGCUACUCCGCCUCCCCUGUUCCUUACCCUUGGGGCGGCCGCCAUGUUUCCUGAACACAAAAUGGCGACACGUGGUUAGCAUUCGUCGCCAACGAGAAAUUGGGGUCGGCCCGAAAGCUCUAGAAUGCACCCCUCUUCCUCCCCGGGGCCUUCCACCUCCGCGAGUUUUAUGACUUAAAAAAGCCCACAGGCUGGUCUGAAGGUCGGAGGCCUAAUUUUAACGCGUUUUCCUCCCUUUAAUUUGAAACGGGAACGCGAAUGACUGUAAAAUGUGGGCACAAUAUUUAAUCUCUCGCCUUUUUAAAGCUUAAUAGUGGAUAAUAGGGGGGCAGUAUCAAGGGAUAAUUUGGGUCCCCACAGUACCAAAGCAUUUAGAAACCUCUGUUUAAUUUAAGGAAUGAGAUAAGUUACUGCUUUUCUAGACUUCCUAGCAUGGGCUGUUGUGCUGGAGAGAACGAGAGCUACGAAGAGACUACAGUGCCUCUGACUUUUUCAUAGGACAGUUGGCCGGUGAAUCUUAUUAAUAGUUUACCACAAUUAAGUGUUCAUUUUUAGUCUAGAAGGGACAGGCGUUUAUUGUGCAUUGGCCAGUGCCAGCACAUCCGAUGCAAGGCAGUUCACCGUAUUCUAUCUUUAAUUUUUACCAUGGUCCUCUGAGGUAGGUGUUCUUAUCUCUCUCUCUCUCUCUCUCUUUUAAACAGAGGAAGACAAACAUAAAGAUGAAGUGCUUAAUUCAAGGUCACACAAUGUCGGGGAUGGACCUCCAGAUUUCCUUACUGACCUGCAUUAUCUUGUGGAUACCUGAGUGAAUUCCACACCACCCAUUUUAUAGAUGAAACCACUGAGACAUGGAGCAAUUGACUGAGUAGUCACUGCCCCACCCCUGCCUGGAGCCUCACACAUGACUCGCCUCCUCUCAGUGACCACAGGAAAACAAGCUCAGGGCUCCCACUGAUUGUACAUUAUGGUGAGACGUGGUCUUGUAACACAGUGGUUAAGAAUGUGACUUUGGAGCCAGCCUGCUAGGGGCUGAAUUCUGACUCAGCCAUUUACUAACUGUGUGACCUUAGGGAGGAGGACCUGGUUGAUAGAAGAAUUUAUCUCGUAGUCUUAACAUCCACUGUAAUUCCAAACUUUGAGGACGAUAGAGAUCAGUGGGCUUUGACUGCCCAGCAUGCAGUCUCCAUUCUUAGGUGGGUUCCCAAGCCUGUAAAAUGUAAGCCUUAUGCUGCUGAGGGCCAUCUUGCCACCCUGAGGGAAACGCUGCCUGAGAAUGAAACAAGCAUAAGUAAAAGCUGAGCUGUGAGAUGGAGCAAGAUGAAGGCCACAUGACAUCUUUGGAGCACCUGGAUCUAACUGUGCCUUAAGCUAGUCUAACCCUGAACAUUUCAUCAUUUCAUUGACAUGAGCCCAGGUUUUCUUUUUUUUUGGAUGGAGUCUUGCUCUGUCGCCCAGGCUGGAGUGCAGUAGCUCAAUCUCGGCUCACUGCAAGCUCCACCUCCCGGGUUCACGCCAUUCUCCUGCCUUAGCCUCCCAAGUAGCUGGGACAACAGGCGCCCACCACCACUCCCAGCUAAUUUUUUGUAUUUUUAGUAGAGACGGGGUUUUACCAUGUUAGCCGGGAUGGUCUUGAUCUCCUGACCUCAUGAUCCGCCCGCCUCGGCCUCCCAAAGUGCUGGGAUUACAGGUGUGAGCCACUGCACCCAGCCCUCAGGUUUUCCCUUUUUUUACCCCUCCUUUUGAAAAUUUGAUGUGGAAUUUUGCCACCUGCAGCCAGAAGAGUUUUAACUAAUCAGUGCCAUAAAUUUUAUAUAGUUCUCCUUGCAAAAUGUGGAUCAGCCUUUCUCAGCAAAUCCUUUGUCAUAAAGUGCUGAAUUGUAAGUUUGUCAUGAGAAUCACAUGAGAUCAUGCAUGUGAAGAACCUGGCAUUAUCCUCCUCAUAGAAAAAAACCAGUAAAUAUUAACUACAGGAAGCAAGGAAGGAGUGGGGUGAGGGGAAGAAGAAGGGGUACUGAUUUAAAAGAACCCUGGAGUCCUAAGGAUAAUCUAGGAACCCUCAGACCCAAUCCGAUACCCCUAUUCUAAAUGCUCCUAGUGCCCUGUACCUUCCCCUCAUAAGCCUUCAUUAUCAUUGUAAUGAUAUGUUUAUGUAAUAUUUUGAUUAAUGUCUCUCCUUCACUGACCUAGCAGUUCUAGCAGGGCAGUGAUUUUGCUGUGUUGCAUCCCCAGCACCUAGUCUGGUAUGUGGCAUUCAGCAUAUGUUUAUUGAAUGAAUGGCCAUGUGGUUAUUCAGAUCCUCCUUGAUUAUUGGGGUUAGGAUUGUGGCAGAAGUGGCAAAAUCAGGGAGAGUAGUCCCUGUCCCCUCUGUAUCUUAUACACUGCCCACACUCCCAACACACAUACACAUACAGAGAAUUUUGUCUCAAUUAGAUAAUUAACUUCUGCUUGGUUGUAAACCAAACCACUGGUUCUUAAACUUUCAUUGGAUCAUUUUAUUGAAGAAUUAAAUAGUGUGGUUCUGGCCUAAUGUCUGGAAAGCCUUGCAGAGGAGUGGAUUAGGUCUUUGUGAUAAACAGGCAGCCUUCCCUGCUCCUGUGUCUUUAUAAAAUCUAUUUAACUGGAGUAGUCCACCCUCCCUCAGGCUCUUACAGGAAUAUGUUGGAGGCUGUAGGAAGGUGGGAAACCGAGAGGGAAAGGACUGGGCCGCUGGAGACUUCACUCAUUCCCUAGCAAGAAACAAAAGCAGUAAAAGGUGGCCCGAGGACAACCUGAAGCUCACUCCUUCAGCACUUUUGGCUGGAGGUCACUUGUUGGAGCCCCACUCAGAGCUCAGCACACCACCCCACCAGCAGCCUCCUCCUCCCAGCUGAGGCUGCAUUUCAUCCCUUCCCCCAGCCUGCUUUCCCUGAGAUAGGGGAGUGUUUCCCAGGGCCCAUGUGACUUCCACUGGCAAGUGACGAUUACCAAUGGUUUACUAGUCAGUGAAACUACCAAAGGCUUUUGUGCUGUAGUAAUCCUUUUCCUGUUUAAAACUCUGGGGAUUUUCUAAUGUUGCCAAUAGUUUUUCAAGUCAGCAAUUACUGUGUGGAUUAUGUAAUGGCUCGGUAUUA
rnacentral:lncRNA from 1 species